GAUGAACGCUGGCGGCGUGCUUAACACAUGCAAGUCGAACGAACCUUCGGGUUAGUGGCGGACGGGUGAGUAACGCGUGGGAAUCUGCCCUCAGGAGGGGGAUAACGGCCGGAAACGGCCGCUAAUACCCCAUAUGCCGAGAGGUGAAAUGAAAUUCGCCUGAGGAUGAGCCCGCGUCUGAUUAGCUAGUUGGUGUGGUAAUGGCGCACCAAGGCUUCGAUCAGUAGCUGGUCUGAGAGGAUGAUCAGCCACACUGGGACUGAGACACGGCCCAGACUCCUACGGGAGGCAGCAGUGGGGAAUUUUCCGCAAUGGGCGAAAGCCUGACGGAGCAACGCCGCGUGAGGGAUGAAGGCCUCUGGGCUGUAAACCUCUUUUCUCAAGGAAGAAGAACUGACGGUACUUGAGGAAUAAGCCACGGCUAAUUCCGUGCCAGCAGCCGCGGUAAUACGGGAGUGGCAAGCGUUAUCCGGAAUUAUUGGGCGUAAAGCGUCCGCAGGCGGCCUUGUAAGUCUGUCGUUAAAGCGUGGAGCUUAACUCCAUUUCAGCGGUGGAAACUACAAGGCUUGAGUGUGGUAGGGGCAGAGGGAAUUCCCGGUGUAGCGGUGAAAUGCGUAGAUAUCGGGAAGAACACCAGUGGCGAAGGCGCUCUGCUGGGCCAUAACUGACGCUCAUGGACGAAAGCCAGGGGAGCGAAAGGGAUUAGAUACCCCUGUAGUCCUGGCCGUAAACGAUGAACACUAGGUGUCGGGGGAAUCGACCCCCUCGGUGUCGUAGCUAACGCGUUAAGUGUUCCGCCUGGGGAGUACGCACGCAAGUGUGAAACUCAAAGGAAUUGACGGGGGCCCGCACAAGCGGUGGAGUAUGUGGUUUAAUUCGAUGCAACGCGAAGAACCUUACCAGGGUUUGACAUCCUGCGAAUCCCUUGGAAACGAGGGAGUGCCUUCGGGAACGCAGAGACAGGUGGUGCAUGGCUGUCGUCAGCUCGUGUCGUGAGAUGUUGGGUUAAGUCCCGCAACGAGCGCAACCCACGUCUUUAGUUGCCAGCAUUCAGUUGGGCACUCUAGAGAGACCGCCGGUGAUAAACCGGAGGAAGGUGUGGAUGACGUCAAGUCAUCAUGCCCCUUACAUCCUGGGCUACACACGUACUACAAUGCUACGGACAAAGGGCAGCAAGCUCGCGAGAGUUAGCAAAUCCCAUAAACCGUGGCUCAGUUCAGAUCGUAGGCUGCAACUCGCCUACGUGAAGGAGGAAUCGCUAGUAAUCGCAGGUCAGCAUACUGCGGUGAAUACGUUCCCGGGCCUUGUACACACCGCCCGUCACACCAUGGAAGUUGGCCACGCCCGAAGUCGUUACUCCAACCCUUGUGGAGGAGGACGCCGAAGGUGGGGCUGAUGACUGGGGUGAAGUCGUAACAAGGUAGCCGUACCGGAAGGUGCGGCUGGAUCACCUCCU
rnacentral:rRNA from 1 species